CAAUGAUUGAUUUUACUGUUCACUAUAAAAUAAUCACUUCAGCUUUUGUUAAGCUUACCUCUUAUUUUGGGAUGGUGAUUAUCUUUGAAUUCCAUGAUAAAUUUUCCUGCGUUCAAUGAAAAGAGGCAGAUGUUGAUGGCAUUUCCCAGUGUAGUGAAGAUGUCAUAUGGUUUGUUGAAUCCUAUGUUGCUCGGACUCCUAAAAAAUAUCAAUGGAUGCAGGCUGGAUGUUCAUAAUAUUGUAUUUUUUUGAAAAGCUGUCACGUAUGUAGAAUCAAAAACGACGAGUAUGUGAAACUUAGGUUGAAGGUAAAUGGAACUGUAACGGGACAUGUUACAAGAAUGGAAUUUAUAAUAAUCAAAUUUUCAAACAAAGUAAUAAGUUGUAUAGAAGAGAUGUAACUUCAGCUA